rnacentral:lncRNA from 1 species
AAGGGGAGUUUCCCUGUACAAGUUCCCUUCACUUAUCUGCCACUGUGUGAGAGGUGCCUUUCAUUUUCCACCAUGAUUGUGAUGCCUCCCCAGCCACGUGGAACUCUACCUUGCAUCAGCUACAAAUCCCAUCACCUCCUUGGCUGAAGCUGAAAAGCAACUGGAAUGUGGGAAACUGCCAUAAGAUCUGGAUCUUCCCAUCACCGAAGUGAGCAGUUGAGGUUUGACACUCAGUGCUGCAGCUGCCAUAUUGCAACCAUGGGAGCAAAAUCGACGUGCUCAAGAUGACAGAGCAGAAAUAGAAAAGGAGUCUCAUUCCCUAAACAGCUGAACAGCCAUGAACUGCCUACCUCCCAGACCAGAGGACAUGAGAAAAAUGAAUUCCUAUUUUAUUAAACUACUGUAAUGGGAUUUCUGCUAUAUAGAGCUAAAAGUAAUCUCUAACUGACAUAUCAGCUUAUAAACUGUCCCAAAUGUAAGAAAUAUGUUCUUAUUAUUAAAUUCCCGGUUGGCGGGGGGGGAGGGUGGAUCAAAGUCAAAAAAAUUAAAUAUACAUUGUUUUGUAAGUAUAAGGCAAAAUAAUACAGUAAAAAUAUUAUCCUA